rnacentral:sRNA from 1 species
GCCAGGCAUGGUGGCGCAUGCCUAUAAUCCCAGUGACUUAGGAGGCUGAGGAAGGAGGAUCACAAGUCUGAGGUAAGCCAGGCCUUAAGCAACUUAGUGAGAUGCUGUCUUAA